rnacentral:ncRNA from 1 species
UCAUUAACACUGUGAAAAAAUUCCAAAAAUAAUUUUUUCAAGUUAGUUAAGAUGAGUAUUUAGGAUUUACAAUAAUUCAAAUGGAAGGAGUGAUUUCAAUGACUGCAGAUAUCAUUUCAACAAUUGGUGAUUUUGUAAAAUGGAUUUUAGAUACAGUAAAAAAAUUCACUAAAUAAUAGUAGAAAUUCAUUGUAACUUUGUUUUCUUCGUAUAAUAGGUGAGUUAUUAAGCCAUCCCAACUUAAUAACUUACAACAUUAGUAGGUGACCAAACAUUUACUAAUAUGACUGUAGUUUUCCUUGGACUCAGUGUUACGUAUUAUUCUUAGCUACCUUUAACUAGGUAUUUUUCUAACAUGUAAGCUAUCGUAAAACAACAUUCAAUUUAUCAUUAUAAAAAGAGAUAAAUUCACUAAAAUUUUUUCAUAAUUAAUAACAUCCCCAAAAAAUAGAUUGAAAAAAUAACUGUAAAAACAUUCCCUUAAUAAUAAGUUAUCAAAAGCCGUGAGCCCCUCCCAAGCUCACGGC